rnacentral:snRNA from 1 species
GUGCUCACUUUGGCAGCAUAGAUACUAAAAUUGGAAUGAUACAGAUAAGAUUAGCAAGGCCCAUGCAAGGAUGACAGGUAAAUUCGUGAAGCAUUUCAUUAUUAA